GAGUUUGAUCCUGGCUCAGAGCGAACGCUGGCGGCACGCCUAACACAUGCAAGUCGAGCGAGAAAGUGACUUCGGUCGCGAGUAAAGCGGCGAACGGGUGAGUACAACGUGGAUAAUCUACCCUAGGGUCCGGGACAACCCCGAGAAAUCGGGGCUAAUACCGGAUAAGACCACAGUAUCCAAGGAUACAGCGGUAAAAGAUUUAUCGCCUUUGGAUGAGUCCACGCCCCAUCAGGUAGUUGGUAAGGUAAAGGCUUACCAAGCCUAAGACGGGUAGCCGGCCUUAGCGGGUGAACGGCCACAUGGGGACUGAGACACGGCCCUGACUCCUACGGGAGGCAGCAGUGGGGAAUAUUGGGCAAUGGGCGAAAGCCUGACCCAGCGAUGCCGCGUGAGGGAUGAAGGCCUUCGGGUUGUAAACCUCUGUCAGGAGGGACGAUGGGACUAUGUCUUGACGGUACCUCCAGAGGAAGCCCCGGCUAACUCCGUGCCAGCAGCCGCGGUAAUACGGAGGGGGCAAGCGUUGCUCGGAAUUACUGGGCGUAAAGGGUCCGCAGGCUGUCAGGCAAGUUGGUUGUGAAAUCCCAAGGCUUAACCUUGGAAUUGCAUCCAAAACUGCCUGACUAGAGUCCAAGAGAGGUUGGCGGAAUUCCCGGUGUAGCGGUGAAAUGCAUAGAUAUCGGGAGGAACACCAGAGGCGAAGGCGGCCAACUGGCUUGGUACUGACGCUCAGGGACGAAAGCGUGUGUAGCAAACCGGAUUAGAUACCCGGGUAGUCCACGCCCUAAACGAUGGAUGCUAGGUAGGGGGAAUUUAUUUCUCCCUGCCGUAGUUAACGCAUUAAGCAUCCCGCCUGGGGAGUACGGUCGCAAGGCUGAAACUCAAAGGAAUUGGCGGGGGCCCGCACAAGCGGUGGGAGCACGUGGGUUUAAUUCGAUGCUAAGCGAAAAACCCUUACCCAAG
rnacentral:rRNA from 1 species